rnacentral:hammerhead_ribozyme from 1 species
GCACUGAUGAGGAGCCCCACAAUAGGACGAAACAACUGUCCAGUGC